AGCCCUGAGGUGUGAUUAACAUGUUAGAUUGCAAAUCUAAAGAAGCAUUAAACGUUUGCCGGGGCUU
rnacentral:tRNA from 1 species